CAAACUGGAGAAGGAGAGAAACGACGCU
rnacentral:piRNA from 1 species